UUGCCUAGUAACGGCGAGUGAAGCGGCAACAGCUCAAAUUUGAAAUCUGGCUCUUUCAGGGUCCGAGUUGUAAUUUGCAGAGGGCGCUUUGGCUUUGGCAGCGGUCCAAGUUCCUUGGAACAGGACGUCACAGAGGGUGAGAAUCCCGUACGUGGUCGCUAGCUAUUGCCGUGUAAAGCCCCUUCGACGAGUCGAGUUGUUUGGGAAUGGAGCUCUAAAUGGGAGGUAAAUUUCUUCUAAAGCUAAAUACUGGGCAGAGACCGAUAGCGCACAAGUAGAGUGGUCGAAAGAUGAAAAGCACUUUGGAAAGAGAGUCAAACAGCACGUGAAAUUGUUGAAAGGGAAGCGCUUGCAGCCAGACUUGCUUGCAGUUGCUCAUCCGGACUUUUGUCCGGUGCACUCUUCUGCAGGCAGGCCAGCAUCAGUUUGGGCGGUGGGAUAAAGGUCUCUGUCACGUACCUCUCUUCGGGGAGGCCUUAUAGGGGAGACGACAUACCACCAGCCUGGACUGAGGUCCGCGCAUUUGCUAGGAUGCUGGCGUAAUGGCUGUAAGCGGCCCGUCUUGAAACACGGACCAAGGAGUCUAACAUCUAUGCGAGUGUUUGGGUGUCAAGCCCGAACGCGUAAUGAAAGUGAACGGAGGUGGGAACCCGCAAGGGUGCACCAUCGACCGAUCCUGAUGUCUUCGGAAGGAUUUGAGUAAGAGCAUGGCUGUUGGGACCCGAAAGAUGGUGAACUAUGCUUGAAUAGGGUGAAGCCAGAGGAAACUCUGGUGGGAGGCUCGCAGCGGUUCUGACGUGCAAAUCGAUCGUCAAAUUUGGGCAUAGGGGCGAAAGACUAAUCGAACUAUCUAGUAGCUGGGUUCUGCGA
rnacentral:rRNA from 1 species